rnacentral:lncRNA from 1 species
CUUCAUUCGAAGGCUCCCAGAGUUUAAAUUUUGGGAUGCUUCUGUUUGCGGGGACGGUCGGUGCAGCUGCAAGGCUGGAGGCGGCCGGCAGGUGCCCGGUGCUGGCUGCAGAUGCGGCGCUAACCUUCUCUCCCCACUUGAAGGCAUGCGGCUACCAAGGGCAUCCUUGUGGCUAUGGUCUGUACUUUCUUCGACGCUUUCAACGUCCCGGUGUUCUGGCCGAUUCUGGUGAUGUACUUCAUCAUGCUCUUCUGUAUCACGAUGAAGAGGCAAAUCAAGCACAUGAUUAAGUACCGGUACAUCCCGUUCACACAUGGGAAGAGAAGGUACAGAGGCAAGGAGGAUGCCGGCAAGGCCUUCGCCAGCUAGAAGCGGGACUGAGGCUGCCUCACGUGUUGCAAGAACAGUUUUGAGCCAUUGUUAACAAUGCCUUUUUUCUUCACAUAAAGUAGUUGAUUACGAGGGAGUCAAAUUUUCUUUUUAAAAAGGAGCUUCAAUGAUUUGUAACUGAAAUAUCAGGUUCUAGAAGAAACUGGCGCUUAAACCAAAUCGCAUGGAUUUCUUUUUCAGUGACGUUCAAGUGUUUCUCACGGAUGGAAUUCUAGUCAGCUGCAGGCGGGAAGCCAGGCGGGUGGAGCCCAUGGGAGCAAGGGCGAGUGGCCGGUCCCCGCUGUGCCAGGUGGGCAGGCAGGAGCAAGGCCUGCGAGGGAGGAACGGGCCGCUCCCCGCCAGCCGCCUUCCCCAGCAGCCGCAGGUGGUGCCAGCCACUCCACAGAGCCCGAGGGAUGAUCUAGCCUGAUUCCUGCGUGUCCGAAAGAACUUAACGUUUUAAAGGUGAUUGUCAAGUAACUGUGUGGGGUUCUAAUGCCAGUUUCCUAAUUCCAUCUCACUGGAGAUGUUUAAAGUUGGCCUCUAUCCUAAUGACUCAAAACUUGGUUCUUAACUACCAUGAUUGCUUUUGAGGGCCCGGAAUUAUAAAUAUAUAUUAUAUUUU